rnacentral:rRNA from 1 species
AUUGAACGCUGGCGGCAUGCCUUACACAUGCAAAUCGAACGGUAACGGGCCUUCGGGUGCCGACGAGUGGCGAACGGGUGAGUAAUACAUCGGAACGUGCCCGAUCGUGGGGGAUAACGAGGCGAAAGCUUUGCUAAUACCGCAUACGAUCUACGGAUGAAAGCAGGGGACCGCAAGGCCUUGCGCGGACGGAGCGGCCGAUGGCAGAUUAGGUAGUUGGUGGGAUAAAAGCUUACCAAGCCGACGAUCUGUAGCUGGUCUGAGAGGAUGAUCAGCCACACUGGGACUGAGACACGGCCCAGACUCCUACGGGAGGCAGCAGUGGGGAAUUUUGGACAAUGGGCGCAAGCCUGAUCCAGCCAUGCCGCGUGCAGGAUGGAGGCCUUCGGGUUGUAAACUGAUUUUGUACGGAACGAAAAGCCUUCUUUUAAUACAGGAGGGUCAUGACGGUACCGUAAGAAUAAGCACCGGCUAACUACGUG